GAUGAAGAACGUAGCGAAAUGCGAUAACUAGUGUGAAUUGCAGAAUUCCGUGAAUCAUCGAGUCUUUGAACGCACAUUGCGCCCCCUGGUAUUCCGGGGGGCAUGCCUGUCCGAGCGUCAUUGCUGCCCAUCAAGCACGGCUUGUUUGUUGGGUCGUCGUCCCCUCUCCGGGGGGGACGGGCCCCAAAGGCAGCGGCGGCACCGCGUCCGAUCCUCGAGCGUAUGGGGCUUUGUCACCCGCUCUGUAGGCCCGGCCGGCGCUUGCCGAACGCAAAUCAAUCUUUUCCAGGUUGACCUCGGAUCAGGUAGGGAUACCCGCUGAACUUAAGCAUAUCAAUAAGCGGAGGA
rnacentral:misc_RNA from 1 species